rnacentral:rRNA from 1 species
GCAAUGCCGCGUGUGUGAAGAAGGCCUUCGGGUUGUAAAGCACUUUUAUCAGGAGCGAAAUACUGCCGGCUAAUACCCGGCGGGGCUGACGGUACCUGAGGAAUAAGCACCGGCUAACUUCGUGCCAGCAGCCGCGGUAAUACGAAGGGUGCAAGCGUUAAUCGGAAUUACUGGGCGUAAAGCGUGCGUAGGCGGUUCUUUAAGUCUGCUGUGAAAUCCCCGGGCUCAACCUGGGAAUGGCAGUGGAUACUGGAGAGCUAGAGUGUGAUAGAGGAUGGUGGAAUUCCCGGUGUAGCGGUGAAAUGCGUAGAGAUCGGGAGGAACAUCAGUGGCGAAGGCGGCCAUCUGGAUCAACACUGACGCUGAGGCACGAAAGCGUGGGGAGCAAACAGGAUUAGAUACCCUGGUAGUCCACGCCCUAAACGAUGCGAACUGGAUGUUGGUCUCAACUCGGAGAUCAGUGUCGAAGCUAACGCGUUAAGUUCGCCGCCUGGGGAGUACGGUCGCAAGACUGAAACUCAAAGGAAUUGACGGGGGCCCGCACAAGCGGUGGAGUAUGUGGUUUAAUUCAAUGCAACGCGAAAAACCUUACCUGGCCUUGACAUGUCUGGAAUCCUGC